rnacentral:rRNA from 1 species
UACGUAGGUGGCAAGCGUUGUCCGGAUUUAUUGGGCUUAAAGGGUGCGUAGGCGGUUCCAUAAGUCAGUGGUGAAAUACAAUAGCUUAACUAUUGAGGUGCCAUUGAUACUGCGGAACUUGAGUACAGACGAGGUAGGCGGAAUUGACGGUGUAGCGGUGAAAUGCUUAGAUAUCGUCAAGAACACCGAUAGCGAAGGCAGCUUACUAGACUGUAACUGACGCUGAGGCACGAAAGUGUGGGGAUCAAACAGG